AACGAACGCUGGCGGCAGGCCUAAAACAUGCAAGUCGAACGAACCUUCGGGUUAGUGGCGCACGGGUGCGUAACGCGUGGGAAUAUACCUCUGGGUGCGGAACAACGUCUGGAAACGGACGCUAAUACCGCAUAAUAUCUACGGAUCAAAGAUUUAUCGCCCAGAGAUUAGCCUGCGUCUGAUUAGCUAGUUGGUGAGGUAAUGGCUCACCAAGGCGACGAUCAGUAGCUGGUCUGAGAGGAUGAUCAGCCACACUGGAACUGAGACACGGUCCAGAAUCCUUCGGGAGGCAGCAGUUGGGAAUAUUGGACAAUGGGGGAAACCCUGAUCCAGCCAUGCCGCGUGAGUGAAGAAGGCCUUAGGGUUGUAAAGCUCUUUCGGCUGUGAAGAUAAUGACAGUAGCAGAAGAAGAAGCUCCGGCUAAAUUCGUGCCAGCCGCCGCGGUAA
rnacentral:rRNA from 1 species